rnacentral:rRNA from 1 species
UACGGAGGAUUCAAGCGUUAUCCGGAUUUAUUGGGUUUAAAGGGUGCGUAGGCGGUCGGAUAAGUUAGAGGUGAAAUCCCGAGGCUCAACUUCGGAAUUGCCUCUGAUACUGGUUUGCUAGCGAGUAGAUGCUGUAGGCGGAAUGUGUGGUGUAGCGGUGAAAUGCAUAGAUAUCACGCAGAACUCCGAUUGCGAAGGCAGCAUACCGGCGCCCAACUGACGCUGAAGCACGAAAGCGUGGGGAUCGAACAGG